rnacentral:rRNA from 1 species
AUUGAACGCUGGCGGAAUGCUUUACACAUGCAAGUCGAACGGCAGCACGGGGGCAGCCCUGGUGGCGAGUGGCGAACGGGUGAGUAAUACAUCGGAACGUGCCCGGUCGUGGGGGAUAACGUAGCGAAAGUUACGCUAAUACCGCAUACGAUCUGAGGAUGAAAGCGGGGGACCUUCGGGCCUCGCGCGAUCGGAGCGGCCGAUGUCAGAUUAGGUAGUUGGUGGGGUAAAGGCCUACCAAGCCGACGAUCUGUAGCUGGUCUGAGAGGACGACCAGCCACACUGGGACUGAGACACGGCCCAGACUCCUACGGGAGGCAGCAGUGGGGAAUUUUGGACAAUGGGCGCAAGCCUGAUCCAGCCAUUCCGCGUGCAGGACGAAGGCCUUCGGGUUGUAAACUGCUUUUGUACGGAACGAAAAGGCUCUGGCUAAUACCUGGGGCUCAUGACGGUACCGUAAGAAUAAGCGCCGGCUAACUACGUG